UGGGGAAUAUUGCACAAUGGGCGCAAGCCUGAUGCAGCCAUGCCGCGUGUGUGAAGAAGGCCUUCGGGUUGUAAAGCACUUUCAGCGAGGAGGAAGGGUUCAGUGUUAAUAGCACUGUUCAUUGACGUUACUCGCAGAAGAAGCACCGGCUAACUCCGUGCCAGCAGCCGCGGUAAUACGGAGGGUGCAAGCGUUAAUCGGAAUUACUGGGCGUAAAGCGCACGCAGGCGGUUUGUUAAGUCAGAUGUGAAAUCCCCGCGCUUAACGUGGGAACUGCAUUUGAAA
rnacentral:rRNA from 1 species